AGGGAUGUAGUUCAGUGGAAGAACGCUUGCCUUGGGAGCAAGAUGUCGUAAGUUCGAUUCUUACCAUUCCUA
rnacentral:tRNA from 1 species